GGGCAUAUGGUGUAGGGGUUAUCACGUUCGCUUUGCAUUGUUAAUGUGCGAAAGGUCUCCGGUUCAAAUCCGGAUUUGUCCA